UACGGGGGGGGCAAGCGUUGUUCGGAAUUACUGGGCGUAAAGGGCUCGUAGGUGGCCAACUAAGUCAGACGUGAAAUCCCUCGGCUUAACCGGGGAACUGCGUCUGAUACUGGAUGGCUGGAGUUUGGGAGAGGGAUGCGGAAUUCCAGGUGUAGCGGUGAAAUGCGUAGAUAUCAAGAGGAACACCUGAGGUGAAGACGGGUUGCUGGGCCAACACUGACGCUGAUGCGCGAAAGCCAGGGGAGCAAACGGG
rnacentral:rRNA from 1 species